GAGAGAGAGAGAAAGAAAGAAAGAAAGUGGGGAGAAAGACGUUGCUGUGCGACGUGACUAAGCGACAAACGCAUACGAGGAUCGUACGUCUUCGGGGGGAUUUUCUUCUUCGUCGAACUUGGUCGAUUCUCGCGCGAUCGGAGAUUUUGUUCGCGUGAUUCCUAUUCGCGCGCGCGGGCUGCCUGAUUGAAUCGACAAAUCAAGCGAUCGAUCGUGCGGAUCAUUCGCGAUAUCAACACAUGCCUCGCGCUGAUACGUGGCUCGCGCGUAUUGGCGUUUACUGAACAGUGGAUGGGUGUCAACAAUCGCGGUGGCUCCGCGCUUCGUACCUGGCAGCAGACUGGGAAUUACCAACAUCUCGUGUCUUCAGUUCGCGCGCGGACCUUCAACGGUGUCCAAUGUGUUGAUAAAACGAACGGAGGUAUGCGCGGUGCGGCGACGGUACCGCAACCGCCGCCGGUGCCGACGCCGGCAUCCCAGUGCGUGACAGCACAGCCGGGUUACUAUAUUUUGCACAGCAAUGGGAUCCAGGGUGGCAACGACGGCACCUGUGUCAUCGGCACGGUGCCACGCGGCGGCGACGGCAAUCCCAACGGCAAUUCCUCGGUGACGCGAUACGGUCGUUUUACGCCACCCGUGUCGCAUCUGAUGGACUUGAGUGGUCCACCGGAUCAUCAGCAACAGCAACAGCAUCAACAUCAUGCUCUAUCGUCCGGUUAUCAUCAUCAGCAUAACCAGGUCGCGGUAGAAUACACCGAAUUGUCUCAUAUGAUGUUCAAGAAUCCGGACGAAUCGCGAUAUCAUCAUCAUCAUCAUCCUCAUCAUCUCCAGGAUAGUAAAAUCGUGCGAGACUUUCAGCUGGAGUUUGACCGGCCGCUCCACUCAACGGACAACUCGUCCGAGUUUCUGUCGGAUUACAGUAGGGACCACGAGCAACAGAGUUUGUGCCUGACACCGUCUUCGCAGAGCGUGUACUCACCCAGUGGCGCUGACGAGAUGGGUGCCCCCAGUUCAGUUCAAUCGGUACAGGGUCAGGCGGGAUCUUAUCAUCAUGUGGACGUUACGGAGUACAAAUCGGACGCGAUCGAGGAAGGGAUGGUCGAUCAUGUCGCGAGAUACGGCUGUGAACAGGCCGCAGAGCUCGGCCAUGUGACCGAGCCAUCGUCAUCGACGACGAAGGGCUACGGGGACAGAGAGGGUGGCAUCAGAACGGCUGUCAGGAGGAAGAGGCGGCAUAGCGGCAACAAUAACAGCAGCAGCAGCAGCAGCAACGGUUGUUGCAACAGCAACGAGUCCGACAGCGAGGCCACGACAGCCUCGACGACGCGGACGAAGGUGCGUCGCAAGAACGACCAGGAGAUUCAGAAUCAAAGGGCGAUGGCGAAUGUCCGUGAACGUCAGCGGACGCAAAGCUUGAAUGAGGCGUUCUCCGCGCUUAGGAAGAUUAUACCGACUCUACCGAGUGACAAGCUCAGCAAGAUCCAAACGCUCAAGCUCGCCGCUAGAUACAUCGACUUCUUGUUCCACGUGCUCAAGACCAACACUGAAAACGCCGAGUGCGGCGAGAACGCAGAGAAGGGCACCCGGAGUGCGAUUUUGGCUACGAAGGAGAUCGCGGCGUCACCGAGUAAUUACAUGGCACAUGAGAGACUGUCGUAUGCGUUUAGCGUCUGGAGAAUGGAAGGCGAUUGGAGCUCUAAUACGUAGGCUAUAGACUAUAAGGCUAGGAUAAUUACGAAUAAAAAUUUAGUGAGAAUGAAGGUUUACGAUAUGAAGCACGGUAGAUCCGAGGCACUCUGUGAUUCCUGUGUGUAUGUGUGUGAAUUGAAAGCAACUUGAGAAAGAGAUGAAAUUCGAACGCUCGCUCGUUAAUUCAUUUUGCCGUACAGCUUGAUUUAAAGAAAGGAAAUUGAUUCGCGCCAAGGGUGCGAUUUGAAGAUCAGGAGAGCCAACUCUCGAUGGGAUGAUCUCGCACGCGAUGGAUUAUUGUCCCGCGGAUUGGUUUUGCGAGAUUACUCCAUUCGAGAAGUCGGAACUUUGCAGCUUUAACAAACAAAAUGUUGAGAGGCUGAGAGAGACUUUCGAUCUUAAUUUUCUGAGAGAGCAUCCAUUCGAGAUUCUGCCAACUCGAUCAAGCCCGACAAUUUUUCGAACGUUUCCCUGAUGGUUCCCUCGGGACAGUCCCGGCUUCUCCGACUGCAUCCUAUGUAUCCGUGACGUGGCGGCGGCAAAAGAAAAACGAGAAUGACCAUGACAGCUGCUUCGCUUCGCGGGAGCCUUAGACAACGAGAGCCGUGCAGCGACGCAUGGAUCCAAGGACAAUCCGAAAGAGCUCUCUCAAACACCGUUUCUCUCGCGUUGGUAUAUCAUUGCUGGUAUCCCCAAAAAUAAUUUUCACGAGCGAGCGAGCGAGCGAACGAGCGAAGACUCAUCUGUCAGGGCGCUGACAAAAUGUUCACCAUGUAUCUACAAAACAAUGUUUUGAGGAUCCAAUCGUCGAGGAUGUGAUUGACAUCAUCGCACCGGCGAUUGCAAAGAUUUUCGAUUUUCCG